rnacentral:lncRNA from 1 species
CAAUAAGUGUCAUUCUGGGGGCCCACAACAUCCAGAAACAAGAAAAGACCUAGCAGGUAAUCCGUGUGAAGAGAGCCAAUCCACACCCAGAACAGUCUCCUAAAACCUUCUCCAAUGACAUCAUGCUGCUGCAGCUCCCUGCAGAGUUUCAAACUCUAUGUGGAUUCACUGCUAUCAGCCAGUUCCAGAAAACUUGCAACUCUC